rnacentral:rRNA from 1 species
UACGAGUGCCUCAAGCGUUAUCCGGAAUCAUUGGGCGUAAAGGUUGUGUAGGUGGUUGUAUUAGUCUUCUGUUAAAUUCUUCGGCUUAACCGGGGGCAUGCAGGGGAAACGGUACGACUAGAGGAUGCGAGGGGUCUGUGGAAUUCAUAGUGUAGCGGUAAAAUGCGUUGAUAUUAUGGAGAACACCAAAAGCGAAGGCAGCAGACUGGAGCACUCCUGACACUGAAACAAGAAAGCGUGGGUCGCGAAAUGGG